AUACCACUGUGUUGACACUUUCUGACGAUCUCCUUGAACCUCUCCCAAGCUUUAAAAACUGUUUCAUUAUCUUUCUGGCAGAAGUUAUGGAUCUCUCUUCUAAACUU
rnacentral:snoRNA from 1 species